rnacentral:rRNA from 1 species
AACGAACGCUGGCGGCGCGCCUAACACAUGCAAGUCGAACGAGAAGGCGUAGCAAUACGCUUGUAAAGUGGCGAACGGGUGAGGAAUACGUGGGUAACCUACCCUCGAGUGGGGAAUAACCAACCGAAAGGUUGGCUAAUGCCGCGUACGCUUCCAUUCGUUUCGGGGGUGGAAGGAAAGCUGUACCGUGGGUACAGCGCUCAAGGAUGGGCUCACGUCCUAUCAGCUUGUUGGUAGGGUAACGCCUACCAAGGCAACGACGGGUAGCUGGUCUGAGAGGACGAUCAGCCACACUGGCACUGCGACACGGGCCAGACUCCGUACGGGAGGCAGCAGUGAGGAAUAUUGCGCAAGUGGGCGAAAGCCUGACGCAGCGACGCCGCGUGGGGAU